CAGUAGCCGCGGUAAUACGAAGGGGGCUAGCGUUGCUCGGAAUUACUGGGCGUAAAGGGAGCGUAGGCGGACUGUUUAGUCAGAGGUGAAAGCCCAGGGCUCAACCUUGGAAUUGCCUUUGACACUGGCAGUCUUGAGUACGGAAGAGGUAUGUGGAACUCCGAGUGUAGAGGUGAAAUUCGUAGAUAUUCGGAAGAACACCAGUGGCGAAGGCGACAUACUGGUCCGUUACUGACGCUGAGGCUCGAAAGCGUGGGGAGCAAACAGGAUUAGAUACCCCAGUAGUCCCUGUCUCUUAUAC
rnacentral:rRNA from 1 species